UCGAGAAUCUUCGUCAAUGGUCGAAAGACUGAACGAGCGACGCCGCGUGCGGGAUGAAGGCCUUCGGGUUGUAAACCGCUGUCAGUGGGAAUGAAAUACUAGGGGGAUCACCUCUUAGUUUGACAGACCCGCAGAGGAAGGACGGGCUAAGUUCGUGCCAGCAGCCGCGGUAAUACGAACCGUCCAAACGUUAUUCGGAAUCACUGGGCUUAAAGGGUGCGUAGGCGGCUCGGUAAGUUGGGUGUGAAAUCCCACGGCUCAACCGUGGAAUUGCGCUCAAAACUGUCGAGCUUGAGGGAGAUAGAGGUAAGCGGAACUUCGGGUGGAGCGGUGAAAUGCGUUGAUAUCCGAAGGAACACCGGUGGCGAAAGCGGCUUACUGGGUCUCUUCUGACGCUGAGGCACGAAAGCUAGGGGAGCGAACG
rnacentral:rRNA from 1 species